rnacentral:rRNA from 1 species
CUUGAGGUUGAGGCUUGGGAUACCCUCCUCCAGGACAUCGCCCUCCUCCCUAUAGGCGUUACCUACUCCCCGGACGCCAUCUCUUGGCGACUGGAACCCUCCGGCCGCUUCUCCACCAGAUCCCUCUACGCGGCUAUCGCCCCAUCGACAGCCCCCGAGCCCUUCAGUUUGAUUUGGGACAUCCGCCUGCCCCUGAAGAUCAGGAUUUUCCUGUGGCAAUGGAUCUGCGGCCGCCUCCCGUCCGGUGUUGAGGUCCAUAAACGCCACGGACCUGGAGAUGGGAUGUGCCCCAUGUGCGGCACGGUAGAGGAUGCCAACCACAUCUUCUUCUCGUGCCACACGGCAUAG